AGGGGGCUUCGCCGCCUACCGAAUCCAACCGAACUCCGAAUGCCGGCGGCCCAGAGCGCGGCAGUCAGAGCAUGUGGGCUAAGCUGUGUGCUCGAGAGGGAAACAGCCCGGACCGCCCGCUAAGGUCCCCAAGUUCCAGCCGAGUGGCAAAGGAUGUGCGUCCGCCCAGACAACCAGGAUGUUGGCUUAGAAGCAGCCAUGCAUUCAAAGAGUGCGUAACAGCUCACUGGUCGAGUGGACAUGCGCCGACAAUACACGGGGCUAAGCUGGACACCGAAGCGGCGGGAUUUUAUCUAUAUAGAAUCGGUAGGGGAGCUUCCCAUGGGCGGUGAAGCCGCCGGGCGACCGGCGGUGGAGCGCAUGGGAGUGAGAAUGCUGGCAUGAGUAGCGAGAGACGAGAGAGUAACUCGUCCGCCGUGAACCCGAGGUUUCCUGGGCAAGGCUAAUCCUCCCAGGGUCAGUCGGGGGCUAAGGCGAGGCCGGAAGGCGUAGCCGACGCGCAGCAGGCAGACAUUCCUGCACCGCGCACGCGGCGCUACGACCGACGGGGCGACGGAUGGGGGUGGCUCGGCGGGGUUCUGGACGUCCCCGUGAUGGAGCGCGGCCCGCGGACCAGGGAAAUCCGGUCCGCACGAGGGCGAGGCUCCGGACGAAGCGAUCAAGCGAAGCGAGUGAGCCCGAGGUCCCUAGAAAAACCCCUAGGCAGGCGCGUGCGCGCCCGUACCGCAAACCGACACAGGUGGGUGGGUAGAACAUACCGAGGCGAUCGGGUCAACCAUGGUCAAGGAACUCGGCACAAUGGCCCCGUAACUUCGGGAGAAGGGGUGCCCGCGCGUACGUGAACGGACUUGCUCCGGGAGCGGAGGCGGGCCGCAGUGGAGAGGCCCAAGCGACUGUUUACCAAAAACACAGGACUCUGCAGAAGCCGCAAGGCGACGUAUAGGGUCUGACGCCUGCCCGGUGCCGGAAGGUCACGCGGAGGAGUUAGCCGCAAGGCGAAGCCCCGAAGCCAAGCCCCGGUAAACGGCGGCCGUAACUAUAACGGUCCUAAGGUAGCGAAAUUCCUUGUCGGGUAAGUUCCGACCUGCACGAAAGGCGCAACGACUUGGGCGCUGUCUCGACCAUGGACCCGGUGAAAUUGCACUGGUCGUGAAGAUGCGACUUACCCGCGGAAGGACGGAAAGACCCCGUGAACCUUCACUGCAGCUUGGCAUUGGCCGCUGGUCCCGCGUGUAGAGGAUAGGCAGGAGGCACAGAUCCGGAGGCGCCAGCCCCCGGGGAGCCGCCCUUGGAAUACUGCCCUCGCGCGACCGGCGUCCUAACCCGAGGCCGUCAACCGGCUCGGGGACCGUGCCAGGCGGGCAGUUUGACUGGGGCGGUCGCCUCCUAAAGGGUAACGGAGGCGCGCGAAGGUCCGCUCGGGACGGUCGGCAACCGUCCUUUUGAAUGCAAGAGUACAAGCGGGCUUGACUGCGAGGCCCACAAGCCGAGCAGGUGCGAAAGCAGGCUCUAGUGAUCCGGCGGCCCCGAGUGGGUGGGCCGUCGCUCAACGGAUAAAAGGUACUCCGGGGAUAACAGGCUGAUCUUGCCCAAGAGUCCACAUCGACGGCAAGGUUUGGCACCUCGAUGUCGGCUCAUCGCAUCCUGGGGCUGGAGAAGGUCCCAAGGGUUGGGCU
rnacentral:rRNA from 1 species